rnacentral:rRNA from 1 species
UACGGGGGGGGCAAGCGUUGUUCGGAAUUACUGGGCGUAAAGGGCCAGUAGGCGGCCAACUAAGUCGGAUGUGAAAUCCCCAGGCUUAACCUGGGAACUGCAUCCGAUACUGGAUGGCUUGAAUCCGGGAGAGGGAUGUGGAAUUCCAGGUGUAGCGGUGAAAUGCGUAGAUAUCUGGAGGAAGACCGGUGGCGAAGGCGGCCUGCUGGGCAGUUACUGACACUGAUGCGCGACAGCGUGGGGAGCAAACAGG